rnacentral:rRNA from 1 species
GACGAACGCUGGCGGCGUGCUUAACACAUGCAAGUCGAACGGAAGGGCCCUGCUUUUGUGGGGUGCUCGAGUGGCGAACGGGUGAGUAACACGUGAGUAACCUGCCCUUGACUUUGGGAUAACUUCAGGAAACUGGGGCUAAUACCGGAUAGGAGCUCCUGCUGCAUGGUGGGGGUUGGAAAGUUUCGGCGGUUGGGGAUGGACUCGCGGCUUAUCAGCUUGUUGGUGGGGUAGUGGCUUACCAAGGCUUUGACGGGUAGCCGGCCUGAGAGGGUGACCGGCCACAUUGGGACUGAGAUACGGCCCAGACUCCUACGGGAGGCAGCAGUGGGGAAUAUUGCACAAUGGGCGGAAGCCUGAUGCAGCAACGCCGCGUGCGGGAUGACGGCCUUCGGGCUGUAAACCGCUUUCGCCUGUGACGAAGCGUGAGUGACGGUAAUGGGUAAAGAAGCACCGGCUAACUACGUG